UAGGUACAGAGGGCCGCUACCCAGCGAUGGGGUGCAAAUCUCGAAAGCCUAUCUCAGUUCGGAUUGGAGGCUGAAACUCGCCUCCAUGAAGUUGGAUUCGCUAGUAAUCGCGCAUCAGCCAUGGCGCGGUGAAUACGUUCCCGGGCCUUGUACACACCGCCCGUCAAGCCAUGGGAGUUGGGGGGUGCCUGAAGUUCGUGACCGCAAGGAGCGACCUAGGGCAAAACUAAUGACUGGGGCUAAGUCGUAACAAGGUAAC
rnacentral:rRNA from 1 species